AUCGUCUAGCGGGCGGGCUCCUCGGCGACCCCGCCCUUUCACGGCGGUAGCACGGGUUCGAAUCCCGUUGGGG
rnacentral:tRNA from 1 species